UGUUACAAUAUUUACAUCCUUUGGCAAUUCGACAUGGUAAACCAAUGGCGUCAGCUAGAACUUUAAAUAGCAAAGCUCGAUGCCUGCAAAGGCCAACAGACAGGCUACCAAUGGGAAGCACAGUGGAUCCUAGACAAUCCUUCAGCUCAUAACUACACUCCUUCCACAAAGGAACCAACUCAUCUUCUCCGGCAGAAGUUGCGCCCCCCAUAUGACUGCAGACCAGCUGAGCAAGCUGAUCAACAACUUCUUUUGUUGUGCCACAAGUAGGAGAGAGACUAUGGAUCCGAUUCUGCAGUUCUUUCAAGCUUGGAUCCGUACGCCGAUCAAUCAAAAUCACUUCAACUGAUGGUACUACAGAGGGAUCAACAGCUCUCAUUGAUUCAAUAGAUGGAACCCGGGCAUUUUCUUGUAGAUCUGAGCAGACAAUCCAGACAUAUGGAUCCAUCCCAUGGAUCAAGUAAAAUCCAUCAGGCACUUUGUCAAAGUACGACAAGCAUCCAUUUACCCAGAAUCGAUGGGAAAGGGUCUCCGCCGAAGCAGCUGAAGCUGAAGCACGGGAUGCGG
rnacentral:misc_RNA from 1 species